GACGAACGCUGGCGGCGUGCUUAACACAUGCAAGUCGAACGGAAAGGCCCUACUUUUGUGGGGUGCUCGAGUGGCGAACGGGUGAGUAACACGUGAGUAACCUGCCCUUGACUUUGGGAUAACUUCAGGAAACUGGGGCUAAUACCGGAUAGGAGCUCCUGCUGCAUGGUGGGGGUUGGAAAGUUUCGGCGGUUGGGGAUGGACUCGCGGCUUAUCAGCUUGUUGGUGGGGUCGUGGCUUACCAAGGCUUUGACGGGUAGCCGGCCUGAGAGGGUGACCGGCCACAUUGGGACUGAGAUACGGCCCAGACUCCUACGGGAGGCAGCAGUGGGGAAUAUUGCACAAUGGGCUGAAGCCUGAUGCAGCAACGCCGCGUGCGGGAUGACGGCCUUCGAGUUGUAAACCGCUUUCGCCUGUGACGAAGCGUGAGUGACGGUAAUGGGUAAAGAAGCACCGGCUAACUACGUG
rnacentral:rRNA from 1 species